GUGAGGAAUAUUGGACAAUGGGCGCAAGCCUGAUCCAGCCAUGCCGCGUGCAGGAAGACGCAUCUAUGGUGUGUAAACUGCUUUUGUACGGGAAGAAACACUCCCUCGUGAGGGAGCUUGACGGUACCGUAAGAAUAAGGAUCGGCUAACUCCGUGCCAGCAGCCGCGGUAAUACGGAGGAUCCAAGCGUUAUCCGGAAUCAGUGGGUUUAAAGGGUCCGUAGGCGGGUUAAUAAGUCAGUGGUGAAAACCCAUCGCUCAACGAUGGAACGGCCAUUGAUACUGUUAGACUUGAAUUACAAGGAAGUAACUAGAAUAUGUAGUGUAGCGGUGAAAUGCUUAGAUAUUACAUGGAAUACCAAUUGCGAAGGCAGGUUACUACUUGUGGAUUGACGCUGAUGGACGAAAGCGUGGGGAGCGAACAGGAUUAGAAACCCGGGUAGUCC
rnacentral:rRNA from 1 species